CACAGGUUUGAUCCCAGCCUUUCUAUUAGUUUCUGAUAAAUUUACACAUGCAAGUAUCCGCAUCCCAGUGAGAAUGCCCCCUAAGUCCUAGUUGAACAGAAGGAGCGGGCAUCAAGCACACAACCCUGUAGCUAACGACGCCUUGCUUGGCCACACCCCCACGGGAUACAGCAGUGACAAAAAUUAAGUUAUAAACGAAAGUUUGACUAAGUUAUAUUACUUAAGGGUUGGUAAAUUUCGUGCCAGCCACCGCGGUCAUACGAUUAACCCGAAUUAAUAGAAACCCGGCGUAAAGCGUGUUAACGAGAGACUAGUAAAUAGAGUUAAGCCCUGGCCAAGAUGUAAAAAGCUAUGGCCAGCGUAAAAAUAAACUACGAAAGUGACCCUAAUGCAAUCCACUACACGACAGCUAAGACUCAAACUGGGAUUAGAUACCCCACUAUGCUUAGCCCUAAAUUUAAGUGAUUACAAUAACAAAAUCGCUCGCCAGAGUACUACUAGCAACAGCUUAAAACUCAAAGGACUUGGCGGUGCUUCAUACCCCCUAGAGGAGCCUGUUCUAUAAUCGAUAUACCCCGAUCAACCUUACCUGCCCUUGCUAAUUCAGUCUAUAUACCGCCAUCUCCAGCAAACCCCUAUAGGAACAAAAGUAAGCUCAACUAUUUAAACAUAAAAACGUUAGGUCAAGGUGUAACCAAUGGGAUGGGAAGAAAUGGGCUACAUUUUCUUAUCCCAAGAAAAUCUCAAAACCCUUACGAAAGCCCCUAUGAAACUAAGGGCCAAAGGAGGAUUUAGCAGUAAAUUAAGAAUAGAGUGCUUAAUUGAACUAGGCCAUGAAGCACGCACACACCGCCCGUCACCCUCUUCAAGUAUAACAGACCCGUAAGCAAACAUAACAGUGUCAAAUAUACGGGAAGAGACAAGUCGUAACAAGGUAAGCAUACUGGAAAGUGUGCUUGGAUAAAC
rnacentral:ncRNA from 1 species